rnacentral:tRNA from 1 species
UCUGCAUAGCUCAAUGGUAGAGCAUUUUCGCGAGCUCACGAAAAUGAUACGGGUUCGAAUCCCGUUGCAGACC